rnacentral:rRNA from 1 species
AACGAACGCUGGCGGCAGGCCUAACACAUGCAAGUCGAGCGCGCCUUCGGGUGAGCGCGGACGGGUUAGUAACGCGUGGGAAUAUGCCAGAUCUAGGAAUAGCACUGAAACGGUGAGUAAUACCUAUACGCCCUUCGGGGAAAGAGUUAUCGGAGAAGGAUUAGCCCGCGUUAGAUUAGGUAGUUGGUGGGGUAAUGGCCUACCAAGCAUACGAUCUAUAGCUGGUUUGAGAGGAUGAUCAGCCACACUGGGACUGAGACACGGCCCAGACUCCUACGGGAGGCAGCAGUAGGGAAUCUUAGACAAUGGGGGCAACCCUGAUCUAGCCAUGCCGCGUGUGUGAUGAAGGCCCUAGGGUCGUAAAGCACUUUCGCCAGAGAUGAUAAUGACAGUAUCUGGUAAAGAAACCCCCGGCUAACUCCGUG